rnacentral:rRNA from 1 species
UACGAAGGUCCCAAGCGUUAUCCGGAUUUAUUGGUUUAAAGGGUGCGUAGGCGGGCUAUUAAGUCAGUGGUGAAAGCCUCAAGCUUAACUUGAGAAUUGCCAUUGAUACUGAUGACCUUGAGUACAUUUGAAGUGGGCGGAAUGUGUCAUGUAGCGGUGAAAUGCUUAGAUAUGACACAGAACACCGAUUGCGUAGGCAGCUCACUAAACUGUAACUGACGCUGAGGCACGAAAGCGUGGGGAGCAAACAGG